rnacentral:misc_RNA from 1 species
GAUGAAGAACGCAGCGAAAUGCGAUAAGUAAUGUGAAUUGCAGAAUUCAGUGAAUCAUCGAAUCUUUGAACGCACAUUGCGCCCGCCAGCAUUCUGGCGGGCAUGCCUGUUCGAGCGUCAUUUCAACCCUCGAGCCCCCCCCGGGGGCCUCGGUGUUGGGGGACGGCACACCAGCCGCCCCCGAAAUGCAGUGGCGACCCCGCCGCAGCCUCCCCUGCGUAGUAGCACACACUUCGCACCGGAGCGCGGAGGCGGUCACGCCGUAAAACGCCCAACUUUCUUAGAGUUGACCUCGGAUCAGGUAGGAAUACCCGCUGAACUUAAGCAUAUCAAUAGCGGAGGA